UACGUAGGGGGGCAAGCGUUUAUCCGGAAUUACUGGGCGUAAAGCGCACGCAGGCGGUUCGCCAAGUUUUGGAGUGACAGUUUGUCGGCUCAACCGAUAAAGGACUUCAAAAACUGGUGAACUUGAGAGCGAGAGAGGAACAUGGAACUCCAGGUGUAGUAGUGAAAUGCGUAGAUAUCUGGAGGAACACCUGUGGCGAAAAGCGGCGCACUGGACCACAACUGACGCUGAGGCGCGAAAGCUAGGGGAGCAAACAGG
rnacentral:rRNA from 1 species